CCUACGGGGUGCAGCAGUAGGGAAUCUUUCACAGUGGACGAGGAACCACUGGAGCAACGCCGCGUGCAGGAUGAAGGCCUUCGGGUUGUAAACUGCUUUUAUAAGCGAGAAAUAUGAUGGUAACUUAUGAAUAAGGAUCGGCUAACUACGUGCCAGCAGCCGCGGUCAUACGUAGGAUCCGAGCAUUAUCCGGAGUGACUGGGUGUAAAGAGUUGCGUAGGUGGCAUAAUAAGUAGCUAGUGAAAUCUGGUGGCUCAACCAUUCAGACUAUUAGCUAAACUGUUAAGCUCGAGACCGUUAGGGGUAACUGGAAUUUCUAGUGUAGGAGUGAAAUCCGUAGAUAUUAGAAGGAACACCAAUAGCGUAGGCAGGUUGCUGGGACGGUUCUGACACUAAGGCACGAAAGCGUAGGGAGCAAACGGGAUUAGAUACCCUAGUAGUC
rnacentral:rRNA from 1 species